rnacentral:sRNA from 1 species
AACGUAAAAUAUUAUUAUAAGAAACUUUCACAUAAGUGGAUGAAAAAAGAAUUACUCUCAUAGUUUGUCAAAGUGAGAUAUGGUUUUCACUGUUUGUUUUUUUAAUCGUUUUCGGACCAAAAUACCCUUAUUCGGUGCAACCAAACCACACAGCAGUUGGAUUCGGUUUAGUUUCUGCGGUUCAGUUUUGAAAAA